rnacentral:rRNA from 1 species
GACAGAGGGUGCAAACGUUGUUCGGGAUUACUGGGCGUAAAGCGCGUGUAGGCUGCUUCGCAAGUCGGAUGUGAAAGCCCUGGGACUCAACCCAGGAAGUGCAUUCGAAACUGCAGAGCUGGAGUCCUGGAGAGGAAGGGCGGAAUUCUCGGUGUAGAGGUGAAAUUCGUAGAUAUCGAGAGGAACACCGGUGGCGAAGGCGGCCUCUGGACAGUUCCUGACGCUGAGGCACGAAGGUCAGGGAGGCAAACGGG